GACGAACGCUGGCGGCGUGCCUAAUACAUGCAAGUUGAGCGAUGAAGAUUGGUGCUUGCACCAAUUUGAAGAGCAGCGAACGGGUGAGUAACGCGUGGGGAAUCUGCCUUUGAGCGGGGGACAACAUUUGGAAACGAAUGCUAAUACCGCAUAACAACUUUAAACAUAAGUUUUAAGUUUGAAAGAUGCAAUUGCAUCACUCAAAGAUGAUCCCGCGUUGUAUUAGCUAGUUGGUGAGGUAAAGGCUCACCAAGGCGAUGAUACAUAGCCGACCUGAGAGGGUGGUCGGCCACAUUGGGACUGAGACACGGCCCAAACUCCUUCGGGAGGCAGCAGUAGGGAAUCGUCGGCAAUGGACGAAAGUCUGACCGAGCAACGCCGCGGGAGUGAAGAAGGGUGUCGGAUCGUAAAACUCUGUUGGUAGAGAAGAACGUUGGUGAGAGUGGAAAGCUCAUCAAGUGACGGUAACUACCCAGAAAGGGACGGCUAACUACGUG
rnacentral:rRNA from 1 species